CUGACUGCUAUCGGAUUGAUACUAAGCCAUGCGAGUUUUUGUAGUAAUACAAGGCAGACGGCUCAGUAACACGUAGUCAAUCUAACCUAUGGACGAGGAUAACCUCGGGAAACUGAGAAUAAUACUCGAUAGAUCAUUAUGCCUGGAACGGUUUAUGGUUAAAAUGAAUUUCGCCAUAGGAUGGGACUGCGGUCUAUCAGCUUGUUGGUGAUGUAAUGGACCACCAAGGCUAUAACAGAUACGGGCUCUGAGAGGAGAAGCCCGGAGAUGGGUACUGAAACACGGACCCAGGCCCUAUGGGGCGCAGCAGGCGAGAAAACUUUGCAAUGUGCGAAAGCACGACAAGGUUAAUCCGAGUGAUUCCUGCUAAAGGAAUCUUUUGUUUGUCAUAAAACCACUAAUGAAUAAGGGGUGGGCAAGUUCUGGUGUCAGCCGCCGCGGUAAAACCAGCACCUCAAGUGGUCAGGAUGAUUAUUGGGCCUAAAGCAUCCGUAGCCGGCUUUGUAAGUUUUCGGUUAAAUCUAUAUGCUCAACAUAUAGGCCGCCGGGAAUACUGCAAAGCUAGGGAGUGGGAGAGGUAGACGGUACUCCGUAGGAAGGGGUAAAAUCCUUUGAUCUAUGGAUGACCACCUGUGGCGAAGGCGGUCUACCAGAACACGUUCGACGGUGAGGGAUGAAAGCUGGGGGAGCAAACCGGAUUAGAUACCCGGGUAGUCCCAGCUGUAAACUAUGCAAACUCAGUGAUGCAUUGGCUUGUGGCCAGUGCAGUGCCGCAGAGAAGUCGUUAAGUUUGCCGCCUGGGAAGUACGUACGCAAGUAUGAAACUUAAAGGAAUUGGCGGGGGAGCA
rnacentral:rRNA from 2 species